GUUGUUUCUCUUCUUUCUUUUAUUUUUCCUGUUUUUUUCCUUCUCGCAUGUGGUUUUCCAAAGAGGUUUGGCAAACACCAGAGCCAUCAAGGCUGGGGCAGGCCCUCCAUCCUCUUCCUCUUCCUGAUGUCAUUGACCAGAGUUCCUCAAGUGCUCCUCUGCACUCUAGCAAGGCACGGAGUUUGACUUGUCUGCUGUCUCUGAUUGCAGCUCUGCAACCCUUCUCCUGCCUAUGAGAUGCUUCCUCCAGCACCACCUGUGCAUGGGCAGGCAGCCCACCAGCCUCAGCUUCAGAGCAAGGAGAAGACGGUUAAGAACAACAGCAGGGGCUAGAAUGGCUGUGAGAAGUUUCUUACAGCAUCAGCAAGGAGCUGAGAAUCACCUUUUAAAGUCUGCCUGCAGAGAAAGGACAGAAGAUUCAGUUAGACGUGAUUUGCAGAGCUAUCAAAUGGGAUGCG
rnacentral:lncRNA from 1 species